rnacentral:lncRNA from 1 species
UAAACUAAUAUAAUAAUAAAUUAUCAAAAAAUAAUAAUCCAAAAAAAUAUAAAAUCAAAAGAACAAAAAUAAAUCAACAAUCAUGGGAAGGGUGUAAAUUUGGAUAUGGGGUGUGCAAAGUAAGAACAAAUCCCAAGCGCAACCAACUAAAUCCUAAAUAAUGUUAACAAAUAAUAAUAAAAAAUAAAAUUUAAGAACAACUCAUGUUGUAGAAACGGGAGAA